rnacentral:lncRNA from 1 species
CUCUUCCGGAGUAACGUGUGCAGCUCACAGGGAGGGUUUUUUAUUUUAACUCCCUAGGAGCUGGGCCUUGGCUUGUGCUGGAUCUGAAGAAAGCCGAUUAUUUGAACCUGAGGAGGGAGCGCUGGCCGUAAACCCUGCAUGCUGGAGGCGGAGCCAGGCGGCGUUUCAGGCCAGCCUGGUGUACACGUUCCAGCAAUCCGGUGACCUACGCAGAGAAACCCUGUCUCGAAGAACAACAAAGAGAGAGAGAGAGAGACAGAGACAGAUAAAAGUAGGUAGUUUAUGUCUUAAAAAGAGCAAAGAUUCAAGUGUGGCUAAAUAUUUCUCAUUUCCCCCAUUAAUAAUAGGUGUCUCUAGGGCUGGAGAGAUGGCUCAGUGGUUAAGAGCACUGACUGCUCUUCCAGAGGUCCUGAGUUCAAUUCCCAGCAACCACAAGGUGGCUCACAACCAUCUGUAUUGGGAUCUGAUGCCCUCUUCUGGUGUUUCUGAAAUGACAGUGUAUUAAAUAAAUAAAUCUUAAAAAAAAAAAAAAA